GCCAGACUCCUACGGGAGGCAGCAGUGGGGAAUAUUGGACAAUGGGGGAAACCCUGAUCCAGCGACGCCGCGUGAGUGAAGAAGUAUUUCGGUACGUAAAGCUCUAUCAGCAGGAAAGACAAUGACGGUACCUGACUAAGAAGCCCCGGCUAACUACGUGCCAGCAGCCGCGGUAAUACGUAGGGGGCAAGCGUUAUCCGGAUUUACUGGGUGUAAAGGGAGCGUAGACGGCAGCGCAAGUCUGGAGUGAAAGGCCGGGGCCCAACCCCGGAACUGCUCUGGAAACUGUGAAGCUGGAGUGCAGGAGAGGUAAUCGGAAUUCCUGGUGGAGCGGUGAAAUGCGUAGAUAUCAGGAGGAACACCGGCGG
rnacentral:rRNA from 1 species